rnacentral:tRNA from 1 species
CGGGCUGUAGCGCAGUUUGGUAGCGCGCCUGCUUUGGGAGCAGGAUGUCGCAGGUUCGAAUCCUGUCAGCCCGA